CCAGUAUGUAAUUUGGAUCCAUUUUGUCCUCUUCUAUUUGCCUGAAAGCUGAACAUGCUAUUAUUCCAUGUCAGGGUACUAAGAUGCAUGUAAAACGAGCUAGAAGUGCAGACAUAUGAGGGCCAAAGAAAGAUGAAAAGACUGCUUCCACCGUCCAUUCAUGCGUUGCCCCACGGGCCACUGAUUCUUAAAUGAAAGUUCAUCGUAAAACAAUGGCCUACAAAAAUUGACAUCAUUUGGCAUUUUCCUCACAAGCCUUUGAUAUCUAAUGAUGGCUAGAUUUUAUUUGAUGUAGGGCUUAUAGUCCACCAUAUCCAACUUCAGAUGAUAUUUUUAGCUGCUGUGGAUCAUACACGGAUGUGAAGCCUUUCUAGUCAUUAAUUGCAGAUAUCUUUCUUUCAGCCUCACAAAUAGAUAAUGGGGUUCUGUGUUUUCCUGCUUUUAAUGUCAAUCUCUGUUUCUCUAGUGCCAAUCGGUGCAGGAGAAGGGAUUAUAGUUCCAGGCAGAUAUGUCAGUGCAAAUCAAUCCAUAAUUUCUGCUAGUGGAACUUUUGCUCUAGGCUUCUUUAGUGUGGGAAAUUCAACUCCAAGGUACUAUCUUGGCAUUUGGUAUAACAAAAUUCAGAAGAAAUCUGUUGUCUGGGUUGCGAAUAGAGAAUCCCCUACUGAUUCUCUAGGAACUUUCUCACUCGGGGUCGAUGGAAAUCUAGUGGUUCUGGAUGCAACAGGGAAAAUUGUUUGGUCAUCCAAUGUAAAGAUUGCUCAUUCAGCUAUAAAUAGCAUGAUGGGUGUCCUAACGGAUAGUGGAAACUUUUUAUUGAGAAGUGGGGAAACCAUCCUGUGGCAGAGCUUUGAUCAUCCGUCGGAUACGUUCUUGCCUGGCAUGAAAGUUGGCAAUAAUCGCAAAACUGGUCAAAGAAGGCAGCUUACAUCUUGGAUAGACGCUGAAGAUCCACAACCAGGAUUAUUCUCUUUCGGCUUGGAUACGACGGGACCUCUGCAGUUUUUCAUAUGGAAGGAUCAUGUUCCUUAUAGCCGAACCAAUGUCUACAGCAAUUCUAUGUCAUUAACGAAGUUAUCCCGAUGGCUACCUUUUGCUUAUUACGUUACUGUGAAGUUAGAGGGUGAUGAUAUUUAUCUUUCUUACAGUAUCUCAGAUAUCUCAGUUAUAUUAAGGAUCACACUAGUCCCAAAUGGGCGACUUGAGGCUCUGAUAUGGGAGGAGAAAAACAGUAAAUGGUUUUCUAUAUGGCAGUGGCCUCAAGUUUACUGUGAUUUCUAUGGUCAUUGCAGUCCAUUUAGUAGCUGUGACAAAAAAGGUUCUCCAGUUUAUUGCCAAUGUUUGACAGGUUUCCAGCCAAAAGCUCAGCAAGAGUGGCAUAUGAGGAAUUGGACUAGUGACACUUGUGUGAGGCAAAAGGCACUAACAUGUGACAAGGAUGAUGGGUUUUUGAAGAUUGAAACUAUAAAAUUACCAGAUCAUUCGUAUCUAGUGGAAAAUAUGAGUGCCAAUGAUUGUGAAUCAAGAUGCCUACAAAAUUGCUCUUGCACAGCUUAUGCACUUGUCAAUGCAAGUCAAGGAAAUUCAAUUAACUGCCUGAGCUGGUAUGGGGACUUGAUGGAUAUUGUACAUGACAUUGGAGGGCAAAUUCUUUACGUUCGUGUUCAUGACAGAGAACUUGUUGAAAAUGAUGGAAGUAGUGAUAACUUUUCCAGUAGACGCAAGCGCUCUAUUAUAAUUCUAGUAGCAGUAAUUUCUUUAGGGGUUCUUGCUAUUCUAUCUGGCUAUUUCACCUGGAGAAAAAGAUUUGGAAAACAAGAGAUAAUUGAAGGGAGUUUUUCUGGGACCAGCACCCCCAUUGGAGGUGAAGCUGGUAAUGGUGACACGAAGCUGAACAUAUUUAGCUUGAACAGAAUACAGGCCGCCACAAAUGACUUCUCUGAAGAUAAUAGACUGGGAGAGGGUGGUUUUGGCACUGUUUAUAAGGGGGAUUUGGCAUUUCAAGAAGUUGCAAUAAAAAGGCUUUCUAAGAAAUCUGGACAAGGACUAGAAGAGUUCAUGAAUGAGUCAAAACUUAUUUCUAAGCUCCAACACACUAAUCUGGUGAGGCUCUUAGGUUGCUGUGCUGAAGGGGAGGAGAGAAUAUUGGUGUACGAAUACAUGCGGAAUCGAAGCCUGGAUAAGUUUUUGUUUGAUCCUUCUGAAAAGGCAAACCUUAAUUGGAGCAAACGUUUUCGAAUUAUCGAAGGCAUUGCACAAGGUCUACUUUACCUUCACAAGUACUCUAGAUUAAAAGUGAUCCACAGGGACCUAAAGGCAAGUAACAUAUUACUGGACGAUGCAAUGCAUCCUAAGAUUUCAGAUUUUGGAUUGGCAAGGAUGUUUGGAUCUGACCAAACCGAAGCAGAUACCAAACGGGUGGUUGGUACUUAUGGCUACAUGUCACCCGAAUAUGCACAGUAUGGAAAAUUCUCAGAAAAAUCAGAUGUCUUCAGCUUUGGAGUUUUGCUAUUAGAGAUUGUGACCGGUAAGAGAAAUGCUGAAUUUUUUCGCAACGAUCUUCCUCAAACCCUUCAAGGAUGGGCAUGGGAAUUGUGGAAUGAAGCUAGAGGACUAGACCUUAUCGAUCCAUCGAUAAAGGACUCACGUGAAAGUCCUGACAGAAUUUUCAGGUGCAUCCAUGUAGGGCUUUUGUGUGUGCAGGAGUCUCCAGCUGAUAGACCUACGAUGCCAUUAGCGGUUCAGAUGUUGAGCAAUGACAAUGCAUCACUUCCUUCUCCAAAAGAACCUGCAUUCUCUAGUCUUAGUCGUCGGAGAUCUGGCAAUUUUGUUGCCUUUCAUAACACAUCAACUAUAUAUUCUAACAACGAAUUGACAAUUAGCCUGCCUGAGGCUCGAUAAGACUUUCCAGGUUUUUCAUUCACUUGACAUGUAAAUACAUUGAAAUUCAUCAAUAUUUCAAGUAUCAAAAUUUACUGGCUCAUA